ensembl:lncRNA
GCUGUGAACAGCACCAAAAAAGGGAAAAGCAGCAAAUUAGUGCUACUGGUACAGCUGUGGAUGGUUAAGAAGUAAAGCCCAUAGGGCCUCCAUGUGAGUGCUCUCAGCUGUUGGAGGAGAGGAGUGGAGCUGAUCUGUGCUGGGCACUUCUGCUGGUCCUGUGGUCCCAAGCAGCAGGAGAUGCCUAAUCACAAGCGGGUCUGAGCAUCAAAGGCAGUUUUGCCGAUGCCGACACAACAGGGAUUUCAGCCCCUCCACCAUGGGACAAGAAGAGGCCCUGAGCACCAAGGACGUGUGUUUCCCUGAUCUGCUGCCACACUUCUGCAUCUGGAGGUGUCCUCAGAGGCCAUGAUCCGGCCCUGAAGUGUGCAAGGGCUGGCUGCGGGGCCAAGGGAAAAACAAGCUUGUGUGUGACACAGCAGUGAUGUUGGUGCUGCUUCUUACAAAUGCCAGUGAUGGGCAUCUGGCAGAUGGGCCAGGAGCACCUUCUGCAGAGCACAGAUGUGAAGUUUGGGAAUCUCAGCCCGUAUGCGUAACAGUGAUACAAUGCCCAAGGAGGGGCACGCACUGUGGGGAAUGUGAGUGUGACCCAGUUUUAAGGUCGUUUGAAGUCUGUUGACUUUGGGCUGCUCUCUGUGGCCUCAGAACCUGACUUUUGUCAGACAACAGCCGGACAGAGUCUCCUGAUGGAGGGAGGUGUUUGCAUCAAGCAAAGUGUGCUGAGAGGGCAGCGAGCUGCUGCUUCUGGGACCUCGUGACUCUCUGGGACAGAGGAGAACAAGAGCAAGAGCUAUGGCAGCUUUGAACCACGCUGGAUCAGUGAGAUAGGUUUGGGAGCUCUUCGUUUCCUAUGGUCACACUAUGCAUGCGUGGAAAAUUAAUGCCAAUGACAAAACCUCUGCAAGGACAUCAGCACCCACCUGGGGAGCACCAUAGUGAGGCUGUGGAUGUCAGCAGGGCGAGCUGCAAUACCACAGCCCGCGCGUUAAACGGGAAAUGAAACAGAAAUGGAAAUGAACGCCCGCAUCUGUCCCGUUUUUAAGGUAAAGGCAGAAAUCACCUCGUGUCUCCCAGUCCGGCCACGUUCACCCAAGGAAGGUGGGGAGAAGUCAAUGUCCAGGGAAAAUGUGCAACCAUCAUCUGCAAACGAAGAGUGGGAAAUCCUACGGGAUACGGUGAUGGAGCAAAAGGGGGGGAUGGAAAACAUCUGUACGUCGGUUGAGCAUCGGGAGCCUUUGUGCCCGAGUCGUUUUGGAAGGCGGAGGGGCAUCGGGACUUCCCGUCCCUCCCUGUGCCCUUCCUGUGUUGCGCAGCGGUCACAGAGAAGGACGCACCGGGGAGCGCUGGGCACAGCCGUGUCCCCGAAAUUUGCACCUGCAAAGAGGGAGCGAGCCAGGCGAGGGGAAUGUGCGACCGGAUGGAGAAAUAUCGAAUGUUUCUGGCCGUGUGCGUUGCCAGAGCAGUCGGGCUGAAGAGGUAAAGGCGGUUCGCACGCAACGAUUUCAGGGCAAGGAGUUAAAACGAGCGAGCGAAUUCAGGCGUCGUUGUCGCCGUUCGUGCCGGCUCCUCCUGCCCCGGCAGCUCCCCGCCUCGCCCCGGCACACGCCGCGGAGCUUCGCACCGCUUCCCCGCACGGGAAGGGCUCCUCCGCCCGCGGACGGACCCCCGACGGCAG